UACGUAGGGCGCAAGCGUUGUCCGGAAUUAUUGGGCGUAAAGAGCUCGUAGGCGGUUUGUCGCGUCGGGAGUGAAAACCUUGGGCUUAACUCAGGGCUUGCUUUCGAUACGGGCAGACUAGAGGUAUGCAGGGGAGAACGGAAUUCCUGGUGUAGCGGUGAAAUGCGCAGAUAUUAGGAAGAACACCGGUGGCGAAGGCGGCCCACUGGAUCGGUACUGACGCUGAGGUGCGAAAGCGUGGGGAGCAAACAGG
rnacentral:rRNA from 1 species